AGCAGCCGCGGUAAUUCCAGCUCCAAUAGCGUAUAUUAAAGUUGUUGCAGUUAAAAAGCUCGUAGUUGAAUUUCGGGAUCAGUAUGUUGGUCGUGCUUCGGUACGUACUGUCAUUACUGGUUUCUACCUUCUGAAGAACCUUGAUGUCAUUAAUUUGGUGUCUUGGGGAAUCAGGACUGUUACUUUGAAAAAAUUAGAGUGUUUAAAGCAAGCAUACGCUUGAAUACAUUAGCAUGGAAUAAUGAAAUAGGACGUUUGAUUCUAUUUUGUUGGUUUCUAGGAUCGACGUAAUGAUUAAUAGGGAUAGUUGGGGGCAUUAGUAUUCAAUUGUCAGAGGUGAAAUUCUUGGAUUUAUUGAAGACUAACUACUGCGAAAGCAUUUGCCAAGGAUGUUUUCAUUAAUCAAGAACGAAAGUUAGGGGAUCGAAGACGAUCAGAUACCGUCGUAGUCUUAACCAUAAAC
rnacentral:rRNA from 1 species